rnacentral:rRNA from 1 species
UACGGGGGGAGCAAGCGUUGUUCGGAUUUACUGGGCGUAAAGGGCGCGUAGGCGGCCACCGCAAGUCGACUGUGAAAUCUCCGGGCUUAACCCGGAAAGGUCAGCCGAUACUGCGGGGCUAGAGUGCAGAAGGGGCAACUGGAAUCUCGGUGUAGCGGUGAAAUGCGUAGAUAUCGGGAGGAACACCAGUGGCGAAAGCGGCUACCUGGACCCAUUCUUGACGCUGAGGCGCGAAAGCUAGGGGAGCAAACGGG